UACGGGGGGGGCAAGCGUUGUUCGGAAUUACUGGGCGUAAAGGGCGUGUAGGCGGCCAACUAAGUCCGACGUGAAAUCCCCAGGCUUAACCUGGGAACUGCGUCGGAUACUGGAUGGCUUGAAUCCGGGAGAGGGAUGCAGAAUUCCAGGUGUAGCGGUGAAAUGCGUAGAUAUCUGGAGGAACACCGGUGGCGAAGGCGGCAUCCUGGACCAACACUGACACUGAGGAGCGAAAGCCAGGGGAGCAAACGGG
rnacentral:rRNA from 1 species